GGCUCAGGAUGAACGCUGGCGGUCUGCUUAACACAUGCAAGUCGAACGGGCUCUUUCGGGAGCUAGUGGCGGACGGGUGAGUAACGCGUGAGAAUCUGCCCUUAGGAGGGGGAUAACGGUUGGAAACGACCGCUAAGACCCCAUAUGCCGAGAGGUGAAAUAGUAUUCUGCCUGAGGAUGAGCUCGCGUCCGAUUAGCUAGUUGGUGGGGUAAGAGCCUACCAAGGCGACGAUCGGUAGCUGGUCUGAGAGGAUGAUCAGCCACACUGGGACUGAGACACGGCCCAGACUCCUACGGGAGGCAGCAGUGGGGAAUUUUCCGCAAUGGGCGAAAGCCUGACGGAGCAAGACCGCGUGAGGGAAGAAGGCCUGUGGGUUGUAAACCUCUUUUGAUAGGGAAGAAGUUCUGACGGUACCUAUCGAAUCAGCCUCGGCUAACUCCGUGCCAGCAGCCGCGGUAAUACGGAGGAGGCAAGCGUUAUCCGGAAUUAUUGGGCGUAAAGCGUCCGUAGGUGGUUUGUCAAGUCUUCUGUCAAAGCGCGGAGCUUAACUCCGUAAAGGCAGAGGAAACUGAUAGGCUAGAGUGCGAUAGGGGCAAGGGGAAUUCCCAGUGUAGCGGUGAAAUGCGUAGAUAUUGGGAAGAACACCGGUGGCGAAAGCGCCUUGCUGGGUCUGCACUGACACUGAGGGACGAAAGCUAGGGGAGCGAAAGGGAUUAGAUACCCCUGUAGUCCUAGCUGUAAACGAUGGGUACUAGGCGUUGUCCGUAUCGACCCGGGCAGUGCCGUAGCUAACGCGUUAAGUACCCCGCCUGGGGAGUACGCUCGCAAGAGUGAAACUCAAAU
rnacentral:rRNA from 1 species